rnacentral:rRNA from 1 species
UACGUAGGGGGCAAGCGUUGUCCGGAUUCAUUGGGCGUAAAGAGCGUGUAGGCGGCCAGGUAGGUCGGUUGUGAAAACUGGAGGCUCAACCUUCAGAGGUCGACCGAAACCAUCUGGCUAGAGUCCGGGAGAGGAGAGUGGAAUUCCUGGUGUAGCGGUGAAAUUCGUAGAUAUCGGGAGGAACACCAGUGGCGAAGGCGGCGACCUGGGCCAAUACUGACGCUGAGGUGCGAAAGCGUGGGGAGCAAACAGG